UAAUAAGUGUUUUAUGGCACUUUUUAAAUCCAUAUCCACCUUGUGUGCAAUGUCAGUCGAUCUUCUUUUAUGGAGGAUCUGACCAAACAUCAACCUUUAUUUUUAACAUCUUUGUCUGAAAAAUAUUAUGAAUAAACAAUUCAAAAUA
rnacentral:misc_RNA from 1 species